AACAAUCCUGAAGAUGCUGCAAAGGUACAAACUGUUGAUUUAGUUCCCAAUGUGUUUUACACUGAUUCUGGACCAGUUGAUUGCCUCUCUCUCUCUCUCUCUCUCUUCCAAAAGUAGAUUUCUUUAAUCAUCGUUUCGAGUUUGAUAAAAUCCAUGAUUACUCAUAAUGAUUAGGUUCCAAAAGGAAAUCCAUAUCAUAGCGCAACUUCUGGAGAAAUGGCUAUUUAUCGGGCAAACAGCCUUAUUCUUAGAAAGGUAACUACUUAUCUUCCAUUGUUUUUUUUUUUUUUUUUUCCUUUGGUGGUUGAAUACUUAUCUUCCAUUGAAAUGUAUGAAGAUACUAGCAUAAGUGUUCUCUUCCAUGUAAUUUGAUUUGCAAACUUUAGCGUCAUCUUCAGUCUCCAGUUUCCACCCGAGUUGAUUUCUGCUCCAUUAACCAAAUGAUUUUGCUGGUCAUUAAAUCGUGACAUGCUUCAAGAAAGCAAAAUUACACUUGUCAAUACAUAUAGAAGUUUGAGACUUUGAUGUGAAAGUAGAGCUCUCUUGAGAAGAUGCAUGCAUGCUUGUUAAUUCUUUGACACAAACACAAGAAAAUCUUGUCCAAAUGCACAUUCAUCGUGGUCCUUUUUCCCAUUGUCUUGCAUCUCUGUUGGUGCUAAUUUUGGUUAUAAUUUAGGCUGGUGCUCACGUGGGUGAUCCUGUUAUGCAAGUUUUUAAUGGGCAAGAGGUGGAGGUAUGGCCUCGAAUUGUAUGGAAGCCAAAAUGGGGGCUGACUUUCUCGGAGGUGAGAAGAAAAGUCGGUUCGAGCUGCUCUGUUUCUCAAAAGUCCACACUGCUCCUUAAUGGGCGUGAUAUUUUCAUUGAGGAUCUCUCCUUGGAUGGAGCUCUCAUCAUCAAUGCUGGAGAAGAUGCAGAGGUAUGUUGUGACAAACUAUCUCAGGAAGAAAGUUCUAAAUGUACAGGCGUGUCUAGAGCACCAUACUUGUCCUUUCCUCUGUUUUCUUCUUUUCACGCAAGACAUUCAACUUUAUGUGCAUUUAUCUAAAACAAUCCUGAAGAUGCUGCAAAGGUACAAACUGUUGUUCUAGUUCCCAAUGUGUAUUUUACACUGAUUCUGGACCAGUUGAUUGCCUCUCCCUCUCUCUCUCUCUCUCUUUCUCUCUCCUCCUAAAGUAGAUUUCUUUAAUCAUCGAUUCGAGUUUGAUAAAUUCCAUGAUUACUCAUAAUGGCUAUUUCUCAGGGAAACAGCCUUAUUCUUAGAAAGGUAACUACUUAUCUUCCAUUGUUUUUUUUUCCUUUGGUGGUUGAAUACUUAUCUUCCAUUGAAAUGUAUGAAGAUACUAGCAUAAGUGUUCUCUUCCAUGUAAUUUGAUUUAUGUGCAUUUAUCUAAAACUCUCUCUUUGGCCCCAGUAGAACUUCUCUCUUUGUUGCGUUGAAUAUUGGGAUGAGUAUUUUCAAGUCUUAUAAUAGUCUGUCUCCUGUCCAUUUAACAUUUUCCUUUCUGUAAAAUGAUUGACAUUAUUAGAAGUUCAAAUUCUUUUAUGGCAUCUCUCUGUUACGCAUGAACCCCGAUUACUCCAUGUAUGUCAAAAAUCUUUGAAACUCUCCCUUUGUCUCAUCAUCCAAAGGUCCAUUUCUCCUCCUCAC
rnacentral:lncRNA from 1 species